GACGUAGGAUGCGAGCGUUGUUCGGAUUUAUUGGGCGUAAAGCGUACGCAGGCGGCUUGUUAAGUCUGGUGUUAAAGCUAGGGGCUCAACCCCUGUGUUGCACUGGAAACUGGCAGGCUUGAGUGUGGUAGGGGAAGGUGGAAUUCCGAGUGUAGCGGUGAAAUGCGUAGAUAUCUGGAGGAACACCGGUGGCGAAGGCGGCAUCCUGGACCGAUACUGACGCUGAGGAGCGAAAGCCAGGGGAGCAAACGGG
rnacentral:rRNA from 1 species